rnacentral:rRNA from 1 species
CAAUGGCGUAAACAAAGGGAAGCGAAGCGGUGACGCCUGGCAAAUCCCAGAAAUAACGUCCCAGUUCGGAUUGUAGUCUGCAACCCGACUACAUGAAGCUGGAAUCGCUAGUAAUCGCGAAUCAGCAUGCCGCGGUGAAUACGUUCCCGGGCCUUGUACACACCGCCCGUCACACCAUGAGAGUCGGGAACACCCGAAGUCCGUAGCCUAACCGCAAGGGGGGCGCGGCCGAAGGUGGGUUCGAUAAUUGGGGUGAAGUCGUAACAAGGUAAC